GGUGGCGCCGCCGGGCGCCGGGCGCCAUGAGGGUGCGCUAGGCGGCUGUUCGUGCCCGAGGCUGCGCAGCACUGAGGUGAGCUUUGCCUUCUUGAUCUUCCGUCCUUCUUGGAGACGACUGGCGAGAGGAAGAGGGACUAGGUCCAAACGCUAGGUGGCUGGGUCCAGGUGAUUGGACCAGACUGGAUACCUUAGAGCAGUGGUUCUCAAAGAACAGCUCCUGGAGUGAUUGUAGGAAUGCUUCUUUCCUGGGGAACCACAGACCUCCUGAGUCAUCCCACCUGGAAAGAGAGAGGCAGGAGAAUGGAGCAAACAAGAAGAGAGACGAGACCACACACCACGCUGUCCCUGGGAGACGAAGAGAGUAACCUCCUCGGUUCCUGACUUUAAAGUUCUCAAUUCCAGCCCCCUUUUAAUGAGCCGGAGACCCGCACCAAGGAGGAGAUCAUCGAGCUCUUGGUCCUUGAGCAGUACCUGACCAUCAUCCCUGAAAAGCUCAAGCCUUGGGUGCGAGCAAAAAAGCCGGAGAACUGUGAGAAGCUCGUCACUCUGCUGGAGAAUUACAAGGAG
rnacentral:lncRNA from 10 species